GAUGAACGCUAGCGGCAGGCCUAAUACAUGCAAGUCGAACGGUGGUAGCAAUACCAUAGUGGCAGACGGGUGCGUAACGCGUAUGCAACCUACCUUUUAUCGGGGGACAACAUUUCGAAAGAAGUGCUAAUACCGCGUAAGAUAGUAGUGGGACAUCCCACAGCUAUUAAACUUUCGGGGAUAGAAGAUGGGCAUGCGUCUGAUUAGCUAGUUGGCGGGGUAACGGCCCACCAAGGCGACGAUCAGUAGGGGAACUGAGAGGUUGAUCCCCCACACUGGCACUGAGAUACGGGCCAGACUCCUACGGGAGGCAGCAGUAGGGAAUAUUGGGCAAUGGACGGAAGUCUGACCCAGCCACGCCGCGUGCAGGAGGAAGGCGCUCUGCGUUGUAAACUGCUUUAGCAGGGGAAGAAAAGACUCAUGCGUGAGGAAUUGACGGUACCCUGAGAAUAAGCACCGGCUAACUACGUGCCAGCAGCCGCGGUAAU
rnacentral:rRNA from 1 species